CCAUGCAUUUCUGCUGUAUUAUCCCCUCUCUCUCUCCCACUGAUCGCGCACAUACACAGACUAGUGAGCUACCACGCAUGUAAGAACACAGAGCUGUAACUGCAAGUCAAUGCCAAGCUGAUAGUCGUAAGAGUACCUGUAAACCUAACAAAUAUAUUCCCUUAUUCUACAUCUCAACCUGCAGCUUCUAUAUAUAGAGAGUCAUUCACUUUUCCGCCUUCAUCAUUCCUAUUAAUUUCUUCAGCCCAGGGCUGAAAGUCUAUGUUGAUAAUACUGGGCAUAUAGUCUGUUUGAUCAUGGCUAAUGGAGAAUGAUCAGGAGACUCCUACAGAUGAUUUGGUCAGAAGCCCGUCUAUAUAUAUAUAUAUAUAUAUAUAUAUAUAUAUAUAUGAUUUAACUGGGUGAGUGGUUUCCACGCUACUCUUGUCAAGUGAACAAUUUCUGGUUGAUUUUCCUUGAUCUCGUUGUCUGUUCGACCUUGAGGUUUUCAAUGCUUGUCUAUCUGCAGAGGAAUAUAUAUAUAUAUAUAUGAUCAUAUGUUACAAAAAGUCAAUUUCUUUAUAAACGAAAAAAAUAAAAAAGUGAUUUGAAUGUAAUUAUCUCAUUCGUACUUUUGUUGGACUUUUUUCUUAAUGUUUAUUGCUAUUUUUUCUUCUUUUGUUAAUUCUGCAUAUUAGAAAAAAAGAAGGAUGAAACCAUGCAGCUAGUAAUCAUAUUAGAACUUCAAGGAAAACCCUCAUUAUUUCAACUCAUCCUGUUAUAGAUAAUGAAGAUGUUUGUUUGGUGACAAGAUCAAUAGCUUAAUCGUUGAGCAAUUUCCUCUAUGGUUAUAACCAAAUCGUCCAAGGUCUUGUGGCUUGGAGUUGCACUUCGAACAGAUAUCACAAAGCUUGUCGUUAUCAUUCCUUCGAGCAGCUAGGCCCAUGUUCAUGUACAUUGCUCUUUUUCUCUGUAUGUUUUUGUCCUGGAAAUUUCCCUACGAAUAACUUAGCCCCCUAGCUAGAAGAAAGACCCGUUUACUUAUCCCAAAGAUUUAAGGUUUUCCCUUGUUGAGGAUUUAAGGUUUUCUUGCGCACUUUAUUAAUAAGUUUUGUUUCCUUGUUUUUUAUUUAAUAUUCAAUAUACAAGUCUAAUUCAUUAUAGCAGACAAAUUAAAUAAUUAGAACCAUGCUAUAAAUGUAAAGUGUAAUUAUUCAAGUAAACUUCAAGGUCGUACAGACAACGAAUUAAGGCACGUCCAGCAGAACUGCUUGCUUGACAAGCCUUUGCGUGGACACCAACCACCAAUCUAUUUCGUAGCAAGGUGAAACAUCGCCGGUGACAGAUUUUAUACUCGUAUUUCCUUUUCAAAAGUCUCGGCGGGUUGAAUCGAUCAAAAUCCCAGACAAAUUAGUGUCAGUUGAGACCAUGAAUGAUGGAGAAUGAAUUACAGCAAUGAAAAUGGGUUUUUAUCUAUUUAGGAAUUUAAUAUUGUAUGGCUACUAAUUUAUUUGAACGAAUCUAAUAAUCUAACUCCAGUAUAAUCAA